AGCGUGUUUUAAAUGUAAUUCGAAAGCGACAUGAGCGUCGUAUAAAAAGUUCAAUUGAGGUAAAAAAAUGCAAACAGAAUGCUUAAUAUCUCUGGAAUAAAUGAUAGCUCAUUUGAUGAAGAUAUACAGUUUUCUUUGGUACAAAGAGUUUCUGAUAGUGAACACAUUUGCUGUUUAGUAAGGAACAUGCACUGUUCUCUUCCAUAUUCAGAACACAAAGAGCACCUGUUCCAUCCAGAAAUUAUCAUGGACAAAUUUGAAAGAAUGAACAGAAUUACCAAAGAAGAAGCAUUAGAUAGGCUAUCGCAAGUAAUAUCCCGGUAUAGAUAUUCCAUCUGCCUUAAUAUAAUUUCAUAAGAGCAUUACCAGAAGAGAGGUGUUGACUCCU
rnacentral:lncRNA from 1 species